rnacentral:rRNA from 1 species
UUUACUCUUACGGGAGGCAGCAGUGGGGAAUAUUGCACAAUGGGCGCAAGCCUGAUGCAGCGACGCCGCGUGAGGGAUGACGGCCUUCGGGUUGUAAACCUCUUUCAGUAGGGAAGAAGCCUUUCGGGGUGACGGUACUUGCAGAAGAAGCGCCGGCUAACUACGUGCCAGCAGCCGCGGUAAUACGUAGGGCGCAAGCGUUAUCCGGAAUUAUUGGGCGUAAAGAGCUCGUAGGCGGUUUGUCGCGUCUGCUGUGAAAGACCGGGGCUCAACUCCGGUUCUGCAGUGGGUACGGGCAGACUAGAGUGCAGUAGGGGAGACUGGAAUUCCUGGUGUAGCGGUGAAAUGCGCAGAUAUCAGGAGGAACACCGAUGGCGAAGGCAGGUCUCUGGGCUGUAACUGACGCUGAGGAGCGAAAGCAUGGGGAGCGAACAGGAUUAGAUACCCUGGUAGUCCAUGCCGUAAACGUUGGGCACUAGGUGUGGGGGACAUUCCACGUUUUCCGCGCCGUAGCUAACGCAUUAAGUGCCCCGCCUGGGGAGUACGGCCGCAAGGCUAAAACUCAAAGGAAUUGACGGGGGCCCGCACAAGCGGCGGAGCAUGCGGAUUAAUUCGAUGCAACGCGAAGAACCUUACCAAGGCUUGACAUGGACCGGAAAGACCUGAAACCAGGUGCCCCCG